GAUAGGCCGCAGCUGCAAGCGCCGCGAGGCGUUCAGGCGAGCGGUACUAAUAGGGCGAGCCCUUGCACCCAUCC
rnacentral:rRNA from 1 species